CCAAUGUUUAUUGUAUGCUUGUAAUGCCCCUGUUUGAAGGAAAUUAACUUGUCGGGAGUGUUAUAUCAUGUGUGAUAUGGAAUACUACUGUACCCCGAAACAUGAGUGUAGUGAACCAUGACUGGCAGCUGAAUAACCUAAUAUGUGAAAAUACGUAAUUGGAAGGACUUAUAUUUUAAGCGUGCAAACAUGCAAAUAUUCCGUAUUAGACUCUGGAAUCCUGCAUAGUGCUUUAAAUAGUAUGUGCAUUCUUGGGUAAAUGUAUGCGUAUUGUCAGUAAAUGUAACUAAAUGCCUAUGUAGGCAGGUAUGCAGGAAUGAUUAUAUCAUAGCAAGCAUGAGUUGUAAGGAAGUGUUAUUGUGUAAUUAUAAUUAUAGUGGGAAUGUUAUGAGG